AUGGCCUCCGCCGCCGCAUCCGCCGUCUCCUUCGCCAGGCCCGUCAAGGCAAUCAAUGCCAACUCGGUCUCCUUCUCUGCUCCAAGGAAAGGCAAUGUAUCCUUCCGUCUUCAGCCAGUUCCCCAGAGAUUUUCUGUUUCCUGUGCUGCCAAAAAGGAGACAGUAGAAAAGGUUUGUGAUAUUGUGAAGAGCCAGCUUGCGCUUGCUGACGACACUGUAGUUUCUGGCUCCUCUACGUUUGCUGAUCUUGGUGCCGAUUCCUUGGACACGGUUGAGAUUGUCAUGGGCCUCGAGGAGGCUUUCGGGAUCAGCGUGGAGGAGUCGAGUGCGCAGACCAUCGCAACGGUGGAAGACGCCGCCAACCUCAUCGACAGCCUUGUUGCAAACUAA
rnacentral:rRNA from 1 species